GACGAACGCUGGCGGCGUGCUUAACACAUGCAAGUCGAACGGAAAGGCCCUGCUUUUGUGGGGUGCUCGAGUGGCGAACGGGUGAGUAAGACGUGAGUAACCUGCCCUUGACUUUGGGAUAACUUCAGGAAACUGGGGCUAAUACCGGAUAGGAGCUCCUGCUGCAUGGUGGGGGUUGGAAAGUUUCGGCGGUUGGGGAUGGACUCGCGGAUUAUCAGCUUGUUGGUGGGGUAGUGGCUGACCAAGGCUUUGACGGGUAGCCGGCCUGGGAGGGUGACCGGCCACAUGAGGACUGAGAUACGGCCCAGACGCCAACGGUAGGCAGUAGUGGGGAAUAUUGCACAAUGGGCGGAAGCCUGAUGCAGCAACGCCGCGUGCGGGAUGACGGCCUUCGGGUUGUAAACCGCUUUCGCCUGUGACGAAGCGUGAGUGACGGUAAUGGAUAAAGAAGCACCGGCUAACUACGUG
rnacentral:rRNA from 1 species